rnacentral:tRNA from 1 species
GGAGAGGUGCGUGAGUGGUUUAAGCGGCAGUCCUGGAAAGACUGUGUACUGAAAGGUACCGUGGGUUCGAAUCCCACCCUCUCCG